rnacentral:rRNA from 1 species
GAGUUUGAUCUUGGCUCAGGACGAACGCUGGCGGCGUGCUUAACACAUGCAAGUCGAACGGAAAGGCCCUGCUUUUGUGGGGUGCUCGAGUGGCGAACGGGUGAGUAACACGUGAGUAACCUGCCCUUGACUUUGGGAUAACUUCAGGAAACUGGGGGCUAAAUACCGGAUAGGAGCUCCUGCUGCAUGGUGGGGGUUGAAAGUUUCGGCGGUUGGGGAUGGACUCGCGGCUUAUCAGCUUGUUGGUGGGGUAGUGGCUUUACCAAGGCUUUUGACGGGUAGCCGGCCUGAGAGGGUGACCGGCCGACAUUGGGACUGGGAUACGGCCCAGACUCCUACGGGAGGCAGCAGUGGGGAAUAUUGCACAAUGGGCGGAAGCCUGAUGCAGCAACGCCGCGUGCGGGAUGACGGCCU